AAAAACCUUCUCUGUAAGAUUUUCAGUUACACUUCAUACAACCCUUCUUCGUUUUUAUUUGGGUUGCUAGAUGACCAUGCUUAUCCUUUAAAUACCGUACAUGGUACUUCAUAAAAACUGAAUUACCUUUUUCAAUUAUCUGACACUUGCUUAAAAUAUUGCUUUUUAGCUUGGGAAGAUAAUAAACAUCCCUAAUCUUUCUAACUCAUCCAUCCUUUUGCAUAUGCCGAAUUAUUCCACGUCCUUUCACAACCACCUUGGAGUCAUAUCCAAAAGACACAAAUCCGACCUCUACCUUGGUGAGUUUAUCAAAAGAGUUCUCGUUUCCACACAUGUGAUUGCUUGCCCUAAUAUCUAGAUAACAUACUGAGUUGGUAGAAAUCUCAUCAGCCUUCAUCUACUCUUCAUCUUCUUCUUCCCUAUUUUUAUCUGGUUUAGAAACACUAGAUGCUUUCUCUUCCUUUUCAAGAGUUGCCUUCUUCAGCUCCUCAAGCUCAACCCUCUGUUUAUUCAUAAUCUCAUCAGCUUCAUCUAGAAGCAUCCCUUAUUUGCUGAAUCUCUUCAUCUUUUUGUUUGAGUUCCUUCUCCAUGUUUGCCUUCUCCAUAUUUAUCGCAUCAUUUACCGAGAUCACUUCAUCCAUUAUUAGGACCGAGCUCUCCAUCUCCAUUGCAUCUGAGCUCUUUGUCAGUAACAGUUCUUCUGCAUCCUCAUUAAAGAGAUUAGUCUCCCCAUUUGUCUCAACCUUGCAAUACUUUUCAAUAUGACCUGCCUUACCACAAUUGUAGCACUUUUUUGAUCUACACUCAUUUGCAUAGGGCCAUACUUGCCACACUUAAAACACUCAACUCCUGACUGAUCUCCUUAGCCUUUCCCUUGUCCUCGGUCAUGCCAAUUCUGCUGACUGGUUUGCUCCUCACUAUCAUUGUCAAAAUUACCUCGGCCACGUCCGCCUUGUCCUUGGCUUCCCCAUCCUCUCCCUCUAGGAGCUCGGCUCUAAGUAAUUCGAGUUUUAUUCGAGUCAAAUUGUACCUAUAAUGCUUGAUCAAGAGGUUCAACUUGAUCAUCCCAACUUCUUCUCCUUUGUUUGUGGGCUUCCAAUGACCCAACAAGUUCAUCCACUAUGAGAAUUGUCAAGUCCUUCGAUUCUUCGAUGGCGCACACGAUAGUUUCAAAAUAUUUUGUAAGGGAUCUCAAAAUGUUUUCCCAUAACCCGACUAGAUGGCAUUUUUUAUCCAUUCUUGCUGAGUUGAUUGACCACCUUCUCCACCUGAGUUAUGUACUUGGUUAUCUGCUCAUUGUGCCCCAUCUUC
rnacentral:lncRNA from 1 species